rfam:Eubacterium limosum KIST612, complete genome.
ACGUAAAAAGGGCAAAUCUGUUGAAAGGCAGAGACGCAAAACUAAAGGGCCUAAAACCGGUAACCGGUAAUGGCAGCCAGCUGCUACG